UGCUACCCAUUUCUCGUAACA
rnacentral:piRNA from 1 species